rnacentral:lncRNA from 1 species
AAAGGAAGAGACAUAGUCCAAGCCCACAAAUAAGAUAAUUUCAGAUGCUGCUAAGUUUUACAAAAACACAUUUUGUAACACAAGAGACCUCCGAAGUGUUUCUUGAGGAAAUGUGGCUGCAGACCCUAGAAGAAGCUACACAGCACUUGCCAGGGCUGGGAUGAUGUCCAGGCCAUGGAAACACCGUGUACCUGGUCCCAGGAAGAUGAAGUGUGGGCCCAGAGACUAAUGGCUUGAGCAUCUCAGGCUAAGGUUGCCGAGAAGUAGACAGCACCUCUAGAUCCUAGUCAACAUCUCUACAGGCUUGAAGUCUCCCCAGAGGGCAAGGUUGGAAUAAAUCUGAAGCCUGUGGCUUGCCUGGGAGCUGCCC